rnacentral:rRNA from 1 species
GCGUGUGUGAUGAAGGCCUUAUGGUUGUAGAGCACUUUAUGCGACGAGGAUGCUACUGAUACUAAUACUCUUGGAUAUUGGACGUUACUCGCAGACUUAGCGCCGGCUACUCUGUGCCAGCNGCCGCGGUAAUACAGAGGGUGCGAGCGUAAUCGGAUUUACUGGGCGUAAAGCGUGCGUAGGCGGCUUUUUAAGUCGGAUGUGAAAUCCCCGAGCUUAACUUGGGAAUUGCAUUCGAUACUGGGAAGCUAGAGUAUGGGAGAGGAUGGUAGAAUUCCAGGUGUAGCGGUGAAAUGCGUAGAGAUCUGGAGGAAUACCGAUGGCGAAGGCAGCCAUCUGGCCUAAUACUGACGCUGAGGUACGAAAGCAUGGGGAGCAAACAGGAUUAGAUACCCUGGUAGUCCAUGCCGUAAACGAUGUCUACUAGCCGUUGGGGCCUUUGAGGCUUUAGUGGCGCAGCUAACGCGAUAAGUAGACCGCCUGGGGAGUACGGUCGCAAGACUAAAACUCAAAUGAAUUGACGGGGGCCCGCACAAGCGGUGGAGCAUGUGGUUUAAUUCGAUGCAACGCGAAGANACUUACCUGGCCUUGACAUACUAGAAAACUUCCCAGAGAUGGAUUAGUGCUUCGGGAUUCUGAUACAGGUGUGGAUGGUUGCGCCAGUCGUGUCGGGAAAUGUGGGUUAAGUCCCGA